rnacentral:rRNA from 1 species
CCUGGCUUAGGACUAACGCUGGCGGCGUGCCUAACACAUGCAAGUCGAACGAUUCUUGAUUAUAGCAAUAUUAUAAAGAGGAGUGGCGAACGGGUGAGUAACACGUAGAUAAUCUGCCUUCAGACGGGGACAACUCAGGGAAACUUGUGCUAAUACCCGAUGAGACCACAAGAAGGGAUUUUUGUGGCCAAAGGCGGGCAGCAAUGCUCGUGCUGAAAGAUGAGUCUGCGUCCUAUCAGCUAGUUGGUGGGGUAAAUGCCUACCAAGGCUAAGACGGGUAGCCGGCCUGAGAGGGUGAACGGCCACACUGGGACUGAGACACGGCCCAGACUCCUACGGGAGGCAGCAGUGAGGAAUUUUCCGCAAUGGGCGCAAGCCUGACGGAGCGACGCCGCGUGAGGGAAUGACAGCUUUCGGGUUGUAAACCUCUUUUAUUAAGGAAAAAGAUCUAUAUGCUAAUAUCAUGUAGAUUUGAUGGUACUUAUUGAAUAAGCCCCGGCUAACUACGUGCCAGCCGCCGC